UAGCUACAGGCUUAACACAUGCAAGUCGAGGGGCAGCAUGGUCUUAUCUUGCUAAGGCCGAUGGCGACCGGCGCACGGGUGAGUAACACGUAUCCAACCUGCCGUCUACUCUUGGACAGCCUUCUGAAAGGAAGAUUAAUACAAGAUGGCAUCAUGAGUCCGCAUGUUCACAUGAUUAAAGGUAUUCCGGUAGACGAUGGGGAUGCGUUCCAUUAGAUAGUAGGCGGGGUAACGGCCCACCUAGUCUUCGAUGGAUAGGGGUUCUGAGAGGAAGGUCCCCCACAUUGGAACUGAGACACGGUCCAAACUCCUACGGGAGGCAGCAGUGAGGAAUAUUGGUCAAUGGGCGAGAGCCUGAACCAGCCAAGUAGCGUGAAGGAUGACUGCCCUAUGGGUUGUAAACUUCUUUUAUAAAGGAAUAAAGUCGGGUAUGGAUACCCGUUUGCAUGUACUUUAUGAAUAAGGAUCGGCUAACUCCGUGCCAGCAGCCGCGGUAAUACGGAGGAUUCGAGCGUUAUCCGGAUUUAUUGGGUUUAAAGGGAGCGUAGAUGGAUGUUUAAGUCAGUUGUGAAAGUUUGCGGCUCAACCGUAAAAUUGCAGUUGAUACUGGAUAUCUUGAGUGCAGUUGAGGCAGGCGGAAUUCGUGGUGUAGCGGUGAAAUGCUUAGAUAUCACGAAGAACUCCGAUUGCGAAGGCAGCCUGCUAAGCUGCAACUGACAUUGAGGCUCGAAAGUGUGGGUAUCAAACAGGAUUAGAUACCCUGGUAGUCCACACGGUAAACGAUGAAUACUCGCUGUUUGCGAUAUACGGCAAGCGGCCAAGCGAAAGCGUUAAGUAUUCCACCUGGGGAGUACGCCGGCAACGGUGAAACUCAAAGGAAUUGACGGGGGCCCGCACAAGCGGAGGAACAUGUGGUUUAAUUCGAUGAUACGCGAGGAACCUUACCCGGGCUUAAAUUGCAGAUGAAUUACGGUGAAAGCCGUAAGCCGCAAGGCAUCUGUGAAGGUGCUGCAUGGUUGUCGUCAGCUCGUGCCGUGAGGUGUCGGCUUAAGUGCCAUAACGAGCGCAACCCUUGUUGUCAGUUACUAACAGGUUCUGCUGAGGACUCUGACAAGACUGCCAUCGUAAGAUGUGAGGAAGGUGGGGAUGACGUCAAAUCAGCACGGCCCUUACGUCCGGGGCUACACACGUGUUACAAUGGGGGGUACAGAGGGCCGCUACCACGCGAGUGGAUGCCAAUCCCAAAAACCUCUCUCAGUUCGGACUGGAGUCUGCAACCCGACUCCACGAAGCUGGAUUCGCUAGUAAUCGCGCAUCAGCCACGACGCGGUGAAUACGUUCCCGGGCCUUGCACU
rnacentral:rRNA from 1 species